CAGUCGCCGCGGGAAUACGGAGGGUGCAAGCGUUAAUCGGAAUUACUGGGCGUAAAGCGUGCGUAGGCGGUGAGUUAAGUCUGCUGUGAAAUCCCCGGGCUCAACCUGGGAAUGGCAGUGGAUACUGGCUCGCUAGAGUGUGUCAGAGGAUGGUGGAAUUCCCGGUGUAGCGGUGAAAUGCGUAGAGAUCGGGAGGAACAUCAGUGGCGAAGGCGGCCAUCUGGGACAACACUGACGCUGAGGCACGAAAGCGUGGGGAGCAAACAGGAUUAGAUACCCCAGUAGUCCCUGUCUCUUAUAA
rnacentral:rRNA from 1 species